UCUUCAUUUCUGCACACUAUCUCACCGAUCAGAGAAGCGAGAGAGUGUGCGAAAAGAAGAGA
rnacentral:pre_miRNA from 1 species